rnacentral:rRNA from 1 species
GAUGAACGCUGGCGGCGUGCCUAAUACAUGCAAGUCGAGCGAACAGACGAGGCUCUUUCCUCUCUUCCGCUACCGGCGGACGGGUAAGUCACACGAGGCUAACCUACCUAUAAGACUGAGAUCCCUUCGGGAGACCUGAUCCCAUAUCCGUCCAUAUAUUGAAACGCAUGGUUCAUUAGACCACGACGUAUUUGCUGUGACUUAUACAUGUUACCGCGCCGGAUUAGCUAGUUGGUAAGGUAACGGCUUACCAAGGCUACGAUGCGUAGCCGACCUGAGAGGAUGAUCAGCCACACUGGAACUGAGACACGGUCCAGACUCCUACGGGAGGCAGCAGUAGGGAAUAUUCGACAAUGGGCGAAAGCCUGACCCAGCAAUGCCGCGUGUGUGAUGAAGGUCUUCGGAUUGUAAAACUCUGUAAGUAGGGAGGAAGAACAGUGAAAGAAUCUAUGCCCGUCUUGACGGUACCAAAAGAGAAAGCCCCGGCUAACUACGUG